rnacentral:lncRNA from 1 species
GCUACAUGUAAGACUGACAGGUCCUCAGUGAUGGAUAUGCCUUAGGUGUCAGCUUGGAUUAGGAGGAAUGGGAUCAGAGGACGAAUGACCCAUCCUCUGGGUUGGAUACUGUUGACACAGUGCUGUUUCUAUUGUUAUUUCCAAAGAAGGAAAUGGUUUCUUUGUAGCGUCUUCACUGGGGACCUUGGGACAAGUUCCCUAUUGAAGGCCUGUAGUGGAGGCGACCACUAGAGGGCUCUGCAGGGACCGGGACACAUCUCCCGGGCGUGGUGAUGGGAAAGGAGCCCUGAGACGCCCUGCCUGUGAGACUCCAUGCUUCUCUUCGUCAGCGCUGUUCAAGAGAUCAAGUAAUGACACGAGCCCUGCGCCUUUGCCAGCACCUGGGAGCAUGCAGGUGUCACCAGCAAUCGUUGCCGGCUGCCCCAGGGUAGCCCUGUUGUUCUAGGACUGCUGUCCACCUGUACCACUCCACGGAAUCGCCCUUGCUGGGGAUUAGAAUGCUGCAGUACAGUGUAAUAUCAAAUUUGAGACUCGUUCUGAAACUAAGGACUUAACCAACAAUAACAACAAAACCUUUCAUCUUGUAUCUGAACUGAUUCUUCAGAUUCCCUGUAGAAGCUGGGACCAGAACCGUUUGGGACAUAUGAGUGUAAUUCCAUAUGUUGGAAGCCUUGGAGUUCUGGGGUGCAGAAGCCCUCUGAAUCUUGCUUCCUGGGUGAAUGGCAGGCCCCUUCUGAUGACACACUGUUCAGGUUUAACACUAAGCCAUAAACUCCU